rnacentral:sRNA from 1 species
UAGUUUAAACUCAAAUGCUAAAGCUCCUCUCC